AUGGAGCCCACAGAGACCGCCUUCCUCGUCGCGGGAGACACGCCGCCGCCGAAGACGGUGCAGCUGGGCCAAGGUGAGGGGUCGGAGCAGCCCCGGUGCGGAUGGGCGUUCUGGGCAAUCCUCUGGGUCGUCACCGGCAACUUAGCGUGGGGGUUGUACCGCGCGCGCCACAGCAGCGCGCACGACCUCGCGUUCGUGAUCAUGGCAUACUACCCCACCUACUUCUGCCUCUGGGGGCUCUACGUCUGCAUCAGGAGGCACGAGCUCCUGCGCCGCGACGACGACCCGGCGGCGGCGCCCGAGCAGCGGCGGGCCAGGUUCAGAGUGUGGGCGACCUCGCUGGCGGUGGGCAGCAUGAUCGUGCUGCAGAUCGCGGGUGACACCCCGGACCUGGCGCCCAAGUUCGCCUUGACCGUGCUCGGCUGUCUCGCCAUGGCACUCGCCUGGUGCUGCAUAUACGCCGGCCACAGAGCCCGUGCGGACGCCGGAAGCUGGCCGGAGAAGGAUCUCCACGAGGUGUCCCCGGAGCACCGGGUUUGA
rnacentral:rRNA from 1 species